UCGGACGUGGUGCAGGGUGUACGCCCGCUCAUGUUGUGGCAGCACUGUAUGAACGGCGAGAAACCCGGGUUCGACUUCCGGCGUCCGAA